GCCCUGGUAGCUCAAUUGGUUAGAGCGUCGGACUUUUAUUAGUCCUUGUACUUAUAAGAAGCCAUCCGAAGGCUGCGGGUUCGACCCCCGCCUGGGGCG